GAACCAUGGAGACCAUUAAGAUCCUUAAGAACUUGUGUAACCAAGGGGCCAUUAUGAUGCAACAGGACAUCAUGGAAGCAAGAGAACCACUGUGAUGUUGCAAGACUUCAUGGAAGCAUAGAGCCAUGUGACACUGCAGGGCCCUAUGGAACCAAGAGAACACAAAAUAGGUCUGGAUGUCUUGCCCUCCCAGGAGUCACCUGACAGGUAUCCAUGGCCAAAAUUAGGAUCCACCUUCGAAUUUCUGUGUAUCCAAGGAUUGCUGCCAGACAUAAGCUGCCAGAGGAGACAGAUCUGGAUGGUCUUUAAUUCCUGAGUGCCAGCACUGACCUGUUUUCCAAACACUGGAAAGGGCUCUAUGUUUUUCUUUCUGUGGAAAAAAUCCUCCUUCUCCAGGCACAAAUGUCUGAAAUUAGGAUUCCACAUUCAUAAUUUUGAAUAUCCAAGGGUUGCUCCCAGACAAACCUGCCAGGACAAACAGGUCAGGCUUGCCUUAGCCUCUGGUGGCUGCCAUUCAUCAGCUCCUGAAACAUGGGGGUUCUGUGGUUUCCUUCUUAUGAAGACCAGUGUGACACUUGGUGGCCUUGUGAAAUGCAGGGGCAUUGUGACACUGUGGAGCCUCAUGGAACCAAGGACAUCACUGUGGCUCUGUUGGGCCCCACGGUCCCAAGGGGCCAGUGCAAAGCAGCAGUGUGGGAGUUAGCCCGGCUGUAACUCGGAGUCAGCCAGAUUUUACUCCAAAAGAACCCAGCGUGAGGUUCAAGCCCUGGGAAUCAUUUGUUUAACUUAGGAUGAGAUUGGGAGUUCUCCCAUAAGCCUUUAGUGUUGUUAAGUUCAGUUGUCCAAGUUCUGCUUCCCUACUGGUUACUUGUUUCCCCUAUAUGAGUAUUGUUCUAGUUCUCUAGCCCCAAGUGUAUAUGUUGUUGCUUUCCCUUUAUCUCAGGUCUUUGGAUCCUGCCCUUCAUGCUGUGCUCAACUUCUCCAUGUUUAUUGUUUUUCACCCCAUAAUUGAAGUUCUUUUGGGGCAAUUCCAUUGAACCCACUCCUUUUCAUUUUUGCCAACUUCACUCUUGAGUCAGGGAACCAGAGAGGUUUGUUGCAGCCACCCUCACUGUGACAUCUGGCCCCUGAGCAGGGACCCUGACAUUCAGUUACAUCAGCUGGGGUUAGCUGACAGAUAGGCCAGUGCUCCCCGGGAUUGUGGAUUGUGGGCCCAGUGGAUUUCCCAUCACUUUGAGGGACCUGAGCCAGCAUUGGUGGGGACGAUGACGGUUUCUUCCUGUGGAGGAUUUCAGGUGGGUUUGGGAAAAUGCAGGAUAUUUAUCGCCUAUUUUGUCACCGUCUUUUUCAAAUACGGAUCCACAUCCCGUAAUUGAUUUGGGGCAUUCCGGUGGCUGUUCCCCCCAAAGUGGAGAAGGAGAAAAAUGGGUGGUCAGUUGUCCAAAGUAGAAAGGAGCUUGUAUGGACACUUUAAGUUAAUUCUCACUGAUCAUGACAAAAUAUUUUCAAAGAACAAAUUAAAAUCAAUCGUGAGGUGGAUCAUUCAAAAUUUUCCAGACACUUAUGCUGACGAUAUCCAUACUACUGAAUUUUGUGACUCUGUGGGAUUUAAAUUGUAGAACCUUUCGAUCAAAAGGGACCCCGUUGCACCCGCAUGCGCCCCUUCUUCUACACCAUCCUUGAGACCCUUCACCAGCAAGCUCUGAGUCGAAAACUUGAUCCAUCAGUCACUCCUAACCCGGGACCUCCCCCGAAACCUGCCUUUCUUGGACUUUCCAUGAUGGUCCAAGAUGGCAAUGGCCACGCUGUCUUGGAGCAUUGUGCCCUGGAGACCCAAGAUGGAAGAAGUCCGAAUGUGGCUCGGGAGCCUGGCCAUCCUCCCUCCAUCUUGGCUCCUCCACCUCCUGCUACCACAACCUUCUCUUCCACUCUGAAUGAACCUCCAGACUCCACCCCUGUAACUGCAGGUCACACCUCCACUGUCAUUCAUUCCACCUCCACCCUGGGCCACAGCUCCCGAAAAUGACAAAAUGGCAGCACCCUUUACUCACCCUUCGGCAACAACAUAAACCCCAUGGUCAAGGAUACUAAGCCAAACUGUCACACUAUUUCUAAUCCAAGUGUUUCUGCUCCAAGUUAUUCUUCCUCCCCAGAAGACACUUUGGAUUCCCCAGAGCCACCUCUCCCCUCAAGGCUAGAAGAUCCCUGGGAAAGGAUCUGGAAGGAAGCAGUUAAGGAAGGAGACUGGCAAAUAGUCUUGAAACUCCUCAUUGCCCCAGGACAUGAUGAAAGAAGGGAGCAGAAUCCCAGGAGGAAACCUUCCUGAUGAACAGCACUAGAGCAGAGGGAAAUCAAGACAGAGCCAUGGUUUGUCAGGACUUGCUUGAUGCUAACAAGCCCCGUGGUGCAUUUGGAGCUGAGCCCUGGAACGUCAGGACCUGAGAGGAGAUUGUACAAACCUGUCCAGGAGUCAAAGUCAGAAGAAAACCCCAGGUAUGUCAAGUCAUGAAUGGGUCCUACUAAUCCCCAACACAGGCUGAUCAUGGACUUAUUGGAGAAGAGAACUGGAAGCCAGGAUGGCACACAAACUUCUCAAAGACUCAGUGUGAAAAGGAAAAUUCAAAGUACUUUAAAAACCUUGAGUAUCUCAAAGUAUUAAUGAGCCCCACUGAGUGUCAGUACAAAGCUCUCAAGGGACUCAUUAAAGCAGAUAA